rnacentral:rRNA from 1 species
AUUGAACGCUGGCGGCAGGCCUAACACAUGCAAGUCGAGCGGAGCGCCGGACGGGGGCGUAAUGCCUAGGUAUCGGCCUGGUAGUGGGGGAUAACGACCGGAAACGGGCGCUAUUGUCACAUUCUCGCCGAUGAGCCUAGGGCGGAUUAGCUAGUUGGUAGGGUAACGGCCUACCAGGGCGACGAUCCGUACCUGGUCUGAGAGGAUGAUCAGUCACACUGGAAGUGAGACACGGUCCAGACACCUACGGGAGGCAGCAGUGGGGAAUAUUGGACAAUGGGCGAGAGCCUGAUCCAGCCAUGCCGCGUGUGUGAUGAAGGUCUUCGGAUUGUAAAGCACUUUAAGUUGGGAGGCGUUACCAGCAGAAUAAGCACCGGCUAAAUUCGUGCCAGCAGCCGCGGUAAUAC